rnacentral:lncRNA from 1 species
AGACACAGGACGUACUGAUCUUAACGGACUGUCAAUGCCCAAUUGGCAAUCCUAUGAUUAGGUGUUGGAAGUAUGCCCACAAAGCAACUCAUUUGAUGUAAUAGCUUUUUGGAAUACUUAUUGUAUUAAACUUUUAUAUGUUUAAUGAAGGGCAAAGCUUAUUGUUAAUCACUAUUUAUUGUAUCAUGUGUUUAAGCAAUAAGGGAAUCCAAGGAAUGUAUUUGUUCUAAGAGAGAAGUGAUCAAAUGAGUUAGAUUAUCGAGACCUCUCUCUUAUGUUCAUUCCUAAAACGUUCCUAGCCAUAGGAUUGCCAGUUGGGCAUUGACAAUCCGCUAAGGUUAGUAUGUGUUAUGUUGACUCAAACGUGAGUAUGAACUAGUCUCAAGUCAUUUGGUGUUGGACACUGAGACAAACACAUAGGUGCUCGAAAGAGUAAUCGAGUACACUGAACGUUGAUCAAAAGAGAGUUCGAACAUACAUGUCAUGUAUGAACUCUAAAGUUGCAAUAUGCAAAGUAGUCCUUUGACCUGAAGCAUCAUAGAUGUCUAAUGGUUAGGUCCUUGAUCUUCGAUCAUGUCAAUGGCAUUCCUUCG